rnacentral:rRNA from 1 species
GACGAACGCUGGCGGCGUGCUUAACACAUGCAAGUCGAACGGAAAGUCCCUUCUUUUGUUUGUUUCUCGUUUUGCGAUCGUGUGUGUAACACUUUUGUAACCUUCCCUUUACUUUGUUAUAUCUUCACGAAACUUUUUCUAAUACCUGAUAUUAUCUCCUGCUGCAUGUUGUUGUUUGGAAAUUUUCGGCGGUUGGGGAUGGACUCGCUGCUUAUCAGCUUGUUGGUGGGGUAGUGGCUUACCAAGGCUUUGACGGGUAGCCGGCCUGAGAGGGUGACCGGAGACAUUGGGACUGAGAUACGGACCAGAAUAGUACGGGAGGCAGCAGGGGGGAAGAUUGAAAAAUGGGAGGAAGCAUGAUGCAGAAAAGCAGCGAGCGGGAAGACGGCAUACGGGUUGAAAAAAGAUUUAGAAUGUGAAGAAGAGUGAGUGACGGUAAUGGGUAAAGAAGCAACGGCUAACUACGUG